rnacentral:ncRNA from 1 species
AUACGUUCGCGUGAGGGAUAGAAGUGGAAAGCCCGCAGCCUGACGAAGGAAGUGCGAGGACUUGUAACGGAUAGCCCGACCCGGA